CCCCCUGGAGUUCGAGACAACCACGGUUCGACAAUAUUUAGCUGGGUUAAUUCUGAGCCUCUAGCUGCCAGAGCUAAAGCUAGAAAGUACGUCAAUUUAAUCGCCGUCCAUUUUAGGUCAAUCUGGUCAUUAAGAAUUAAGCUAGUUACGCCACCCCACUAUCCUGCCUAAUGGAGCCUGAACGGCACUCUGAAUCUCCUCUGACCCGACCCUGUUCCACCCCUUAGACUGGGGGGGGGGGUGAUCCCGGUAUGCGCCCCAUAGCCGCACUCACAGCGUGGCAGCUGAAAUCAGGCAACGACACCAGGCCAUUACACAAGACCAGGGCCCACACUUCAGAUGGCAGAGACCAUAUGCAGAAUAACUGACUGGCAGAGCCUGGAGUAACCAGACUGCCCCUGCUGACCUGCCAGUAACUGCAGCAAACAGCAUAGCGACUCCAUGAUAUACUUGCCCCCGAGGCGGGCGGAGAUGAAGGAGGUGAAACGCUAAGCAAGCGACGGCACCACGACACCCUCCACCAGCAACCAACCCGAAGUUGCCUGCCCUCACAAAGACCCAGGGAGCCGACACUCUGCACCCCCCCCCUCUACUCACCGUAAGGAGUCUCCUGCCCAGCAGCCCUGGAACCGCGAUGCACCCAGCCCGCAGACACGCAGCAGGACGGGGCUACAUUCAUAAAAGGCGCAGAAGGCUCCAGAGGACAUUGGCAGACAUACUGUGGGGAUAUUUAUGGGAUAAUAAUAGUAACAGUGAGAAUUGCCCACUAAUUCAAUUCUCAGAUCCAAAGAUCGUUAUCGUGUUAAGUGAGAAGUAUUUCAUAUAAAUAAUCAC